rnacentral:rRNA from 1 species
GACUACUUUCGGGUAGUUGAGAGUGGCGCACGGGUGCGUAACGCGUAUGCAACCUACCUUGUACAGGGGGAUAGCCCGGAGAAAUUCGGAUUAAUACCCCAUAGCAUUAUCAGAUGGCAUCUGAAGAUAAUUAAAGAUUUAUCGGUACAAGAUGGGCAUGCGUGACAUUAGUUAGUUGGUAGGGUAAAGGCCUACCAAGACGAUGAUGUCUAGGGGUUCUGAGAGGAUGAUCCCCCACACUGGUACUGAGAUACGGACCAGACUCCUACGGGAGGCAGCAGUAGGGAAUAUUGGUCAAUGGGCGAGAGCCUGAACCAGCCAUGCCGCGUGCAGGAAGACGGCCUUCUGGGUUGUAAACUGCUUUUCUACGGGAAGAAAAUGCCCUUGCGAGGGAAAUUGCCGGUACCGUAGGAAUAAGCACCGGCUAACUCCGUGCCAGCAGCCGCGGUAAUACGGAGGGUGCAAGCGUUGUCCGGAUUUAUUGGGUUUAAAGGGUGCGUAGGCGGAUCUUUAAGUCAGUGGUGAAAGCCUGCAGCUUAACUGUAGAAUUGCCAUUGAUACUGGAGGUCUUGAGUGUACUAGAGGUAGGCGGAAUUUAUGGUGUAGCGGUGAAAUGCAUAGAUACCAUAAAGAACACCGAUAGCGUAGGCAGCUUACUGGAGUACAACUGACGCUGAGGCACGAAAGCAUGGGGAGCGAACAGGAUUAGAUACCCUGGUAGUCCAUGCCGUAAACGAUGAUUACUCGAUGUUGGCGAUAUACAGUCAGCGUCCAAGCGAAAGCGUUAAGUAAUCCACCUGGGGAGUACGCUCGCAA